GCCGGAGUGGCGGAACUGGUAGACGCAGCGGACUUAAAAUCCGCUGUCCUUAUAUAGGACGUGCCGGUUCGAGUCCGGCCUCCGGCA
rnacentral:tRNA from 2 species